GAUUCGAAUAUGAUGGUUGUGAGGGAACAGACACCGUCGGAAGCGCUUGCAAUAGUCCCGAUUCAGGUUUUUGUGCCGGCAUCCCAAACAACCACUGAGACAGAUUUUGAACCAACACCUAUGCUACAGAUUGAAGGGACUACAGAAACCACUCCUGAAACCCCCCAACAACUUCAAGAGACCACACCCACGCUUCCCCCAGCUCCAACUAAAAUGUAAGUUCAUCAGACUAAAAUCAAUCUUUGCUUAUCAUCCGUAUAUUCUUAUUCUUAUUCUUAUUCUUAUACAUGAUGACGCGGUCAUCCAGACGCAGAAGACGCUGCUGCCUUGUUGAUGAUGGCACGGACAGCAUCCUAUGUUCCUAAAACAGAUCCAGGGGUGCCAUCAUUCAGCCUUGGAUUGACUGAUUCAAGCCAGGAGGGGGCGUCAACGCAGGAGACAGAAAGGG